rnacentral:tmRNA from 1 species
GGGGCUGACAUGGUUUCGACAGGAUCAAGGAGGGUUUAGGUUGCAUGCCGGACUGAGCAUCUCCGUUAUACGGCUCACACUUGCUUAAACGCAAACAAUACUAAUUACCGUCCUGCUUACGCUGUAGCGUAAGUUUUAAUUUAAUUUAGGACUGCUCUGCCAUUCUAUGCUAUAACUGAAUGGAAUUGGAGUAUAACCCCCGUGAUA